rfam:Gossypium hirsutum cultivar TM-1 chromosome 4, whole genome shotgun sequence
AUGUCAUGAUAAGGGCACUUUCGUAAUAAAUUAUUGAAUCGGUCCCAUGCCUCAUAUAAAAAUUCUUCAUCAAAGUGCUAAAAUGAAGUGAUUUAUUUUAGAUCU